CAAGUAGCCUGAGUGGUCGCGGGUGGCCUUUUGGCCGCCUGAGGAAAGUCCGAGCUCCAUAGGGCAGAGUGCUGGGUAACGCCCAGUGAAGGUGACUUCAAGGAAAGUGCCACAGAAAUCAGACCGCCCUGCUAUCGACAGUUGUUCGGAGCAAGGUAAGGGUGAAACGGUGCGGUAAGAGCGCACCAGCGUCCGGGUGACCGGGCGGCUAGGUAAACCCCACUCGGAGCAAGACCAAAUAGGAGGGGAAUAGAGUUGCCCGCUCUUCCCUCGGGUUAGGUCGCUUGAGGCCCAUGGCAACAUGGGUCCUAGAUAGAUGAUCACUCAUGACAGAACUCGGCUUAUAGGGCUACUUGUUUC
rnacentral:RNase_P_RNA from 1 species